rnacentral:rRNA from 1 species
GCAGUCGAGCGCACCCUUCGGGGCGAGCGGCGGACGGGUUAGUAACGCGUGGGAACAUACCCUUUGGUACGGAAUAGCCUCGGGAAACUGAGAGUAAUACCGUAUGAGCCCUUCGGGGGAAAGAUUUAUCGCCAAAGGAUUGGCCCGCGUAAGAUUAGAUAGUUGGUGGGGUAAUGGCCUACCAAGUCUACGAUCUUUAGCUGGUUUUAGAGGAUGAUCAGCAACACUGGGACUGAGACACGGCCCAGACUCCUACGGGAGGCAGCAGUGGGGAAUCUUAGACAAUGGGCGCAAGCCUGAUCUAGCCAUGCCGCGUGUGUGAUGAAGGCCUUAGGGUCGUAAAGCACUUUCGCCAGGGAUGAUAAUGACAGUACCUGGUAAAGAAACCCCGGCUAACUCCGUGCCAGCAGCCGCGGUAAUACGGAGGGGGUUAGCGUUGUUCGGAAUUACUGGGCGUAAAGCGUACGUAGGCGGAUCAGAAAGUAAGGGGUGAAAUCCCAGGGCUCAACCCUGGAACUGCCUCUUAAACUCCUGGUCUUGAGUUCGAGAGAGGUGAGUGGAAUUCCGAGUGUAGAGGUGAAAUUCGUAGAUAUUCGGAGGAACACCAGUGGCGAAGGCGGCU